UACGUAGGGUGCAAGCGUUAAUCGGAAUUACUGGGCGUAAAGCGUGCGCAGGCGGUUAUGUAAGACAGAUGUGAAAUGCCCGGGCUUAACCUGGGAACUGCAUUUGUGACUGCAUGGCUAGAGUUUGGCAGAGGGGGGUAGAAUUCCACGUGUAGCAGUGAAAUGCGUAGAUAUCGAGAGGAACACCAGUGGCGAAGGCGAGUCUCUGGACGACUCCUGACACUGAGGCACGAAAGCUGGGGGAGCAAACAGG
rnacentral:rRNA from 1 species